GGCGGAAGUCGAGUACGGCACGGAAUCGAGGUGUGUCGAAAGGUCUCGGCGUGAGGUCCCAGAGCCUGAGGGUCUGCGUCUUUGAUGAACCAGACAACCUCAUCUACGCCCCAGCUGGACGGGUCUUUCCCCGCAGGACGGUCUACCGCCUCGGCCACGGCACUGACCUGUGGCGUUGCUGAGUGUGGCACGAUGGCGGCGUCCUGUGGGAGGGAGCCCAGCUCUGGUUCUGGUGUGCUGCUGGGAGGCAUCUUGAGGGCCGACAGAGAUGCCACGUAAAGGUCCUGAAAGUCUAUCUUUCGGCUGGGGGGCCGCCCCCUCUUCCUGCCAGUCACCUUACCCAGGGGCCCCGCCGCUGGGAACUGGGCGCCAAGAGCUGGAGUCUGCAUCUCCGCAGCUUCUGACAGGCCGCUCAUCAGACCUGAGGUAGACACACAAAGGUGUGCACGUCUGAAGUAGACACAAACGUUCACACACAUGAGGUACAGGCACACAAAUAUGUGCACGAAAGUCACCCAGCACCAUGCCCCCAAACCACCACCCCCACUUACACAACUGUAGUAAAUACCCCAAACAAAGCCGCAUAAUGCUUUGUACUUCACAGUACCCUCCCCCCAUCUUUCUGCUGCUGCUGCUGCAAGCAGUGCAAUAAAUACUGUUAGCGAGCACA